rnacentral:lncRNA from 1 species
GUUCAAACGAAGUUUAGCAAACUUGCUUCAGUCUAAAGAACGUUUCUGUUAAGAUGGCUUAACUAAUAUUUCUGAAAAUGAAGUACAAACGCAUGCCUUGAAGGUGUAUAGGGACCAUAGUGACCCUUCCCCCAAAGCAACAACAAGAAAAAUAAAGACAAAAUAUAUGGAAUAGGUUUUUGAGAUCCUGGACAUCAGGGAACACGAGACAGUGGUCUCUCAGGGACAGGAAACAAAUGAGGUAUUCCCCGUCAGCCAUGCUGCCCUUCCCCAGGAAAGGAGGAAGACAAAUGCCGCUGUCUGAGAAAGGAAAAUAUCUGCAAUCAAGCAGGUCGUGAUCUGUCAUUGGCCUCUGUCACUUAAUAAUCUCUUGCUCCAAAAUGAGUUAAAUCUCUUAUGGAAAGACUGGACUGCCUUGAUGCGUUAUGAAUGAACGCUCCCGCCCUCUGGAAGUGAUGAGUUUGGUCCAUGUGCUUUGAGCUGUCACCCACUCUAAAUGAUUACGGAUCUGUUAUAUAGCAGAAAUCUGUUAUUACCCAAGAUCCACAAGGACAUUCUGAAAUGAGAGUUUAAAAGGAAACAUGUUUAUGGUAGACAAUUUGGAAAAUAGAGGAAAGGACUGAGAAGAAACAAAAAAUAUUCCAUUUAAACCACCAGCCAGAGGGGCUGCGGGAGGGCUGGGCCCCACCUAUGAAGUCAUCCUCUGGGCCAGAGCGAAUGGCUCGGGAAUGGACCCAUAACCUAACUCAGGCCACUGAGAGAAGAACUGAAGUUACAAUGCUCCGGUCCUGAAGAUGCCAGAAACUGGAUUAAUCAAGUCAAAGGACCGAGCUGUUCCAGGUGGCUCUUCUCAAGGAUGGAUCUUGGCGGUUGGGAGUCAAGAAGGAACAAGAAAAGACCAGAGCCACAGGUCAUGUUUGGGUUACCAAUGACGUCAGUUUUCCAGAUGACAAUUUUUCAGAUUUUCUUAUUAACCUACAGCUUCUCCUGGAAGUAGACUCUCCCAUCAAGCCUGAAAGUCACUGCACUUUUUUUGUGCUUAUCUUCUCCAGGGAAGAAGUCUUGAAAACUCAGAUGCCAUCACCAGCUCUUCUUCCCAACCUCCCAUUUGCUGUUGAACUGCCGCACUCUGACAUCAUCCUGACCAGUCACUGACAGGACCCCCUGAAAACCAAAUCCAGACAGUGCUUGUAAAAGGCAUCAAUAGUUCACUGGAAAGAUUCUUAUUAAUAAAAACUAUUUCGAAGGGAAAGGAAGGGAGAA